rnacentral:misc_RNA from 1 species
GCCGGAUCCACGUAUUUUUCACUCAAUUAUCGGGUUCGCAAACAAUCGAUUGAUCCUGAUUGGGAUGAUCGGAGAGUCCGAAAAUGUGGCCGGAGUUAAAAUUUGGAAAGUGAAUACGGAGAAUUUUGAGUGUGAGGAAUUGGGGGAAAUGCCGGCGGCCUUGAUUCAGAAGGUUAAGAGUGAAACCUAUGGAGUUUCUUCAAUCAGUGUUUGCUUAGCUGGCAAUUAUGCGUACAUGAGCAAGUCGUCGGAGAUGGCGGAGGAGAUAGUAGGUUGUGAGUUCGGAAACGACGGCGAAUUACGGUGG